GUCAGACUUUUGCCGGUGAGUACUCUCCCGACAGUUUCAUUGCCCAUUGUUCAUCAAAAGCCAGUGCAUGUACCUUGCAGUGGCGUUGAUCAUUAUCAUUGCGAGUUUGGUUAAACUCCAAAUUCGUCUUCAGGAAUAUUGUUCCUGGGACGCAGUUGUGGGCCGACUCUCCCGGCUGCCAACGUACCACAAUGCACCGCCUCGUGGCUAUGUUCUUUCUAAUAAGCGUCGCAAGAGCUAUGGGAUUCCGCCCCCAUGGUUCUAUUGGGGGAGAGGACCGCUUCAUGCUUACCGAAGCGUUGCUACAUGAGAUAGUGGAUCACUUGGGCAGGAACGUGAACGACGGCGCUACCUCCUACCUUGAGUUUCCUUCCAAUGAAAGACAACUCAACCUGAUAGCGCGCGCCUCCAAAGAUAUGGAUCAUGAACAACUUGAUUAUGAUUCAUUGAUUGAAGGAAAUCCUAGCCCAAGUAUUCGAGACCAGGAAUAUCUGCAACAUAGCUCACUGUGGGGACACCAGUAUGUAACCGGCGGUGCAGGAGAAGGGGAGCAGCGACUUCAACCAUCAGGACUCGUUCCGAAUCGCCAGAUGGUCAAGACAGAUGCAGUACUGCCAGCUUAUUGCAAUCCUCCCAACCCCUGCCCAGUUGGUUACACAGAAGACCAAGGAUGCAUCAGCGAGUUUGAAAACACUGCUGCGUUCAGUCGAGAGUAUCAGCUAGCUCAACGCUGUAUGUGUGAUGGUGAACACAUGUUUAGCUGCCCUGAUGACUCUUCGUCUGACCUGGACCUCCACUUCCCUGACCACAAGAAUCUGGUUGCCAAAAAGUUUAACCCAGAUAUGGAGAACCCCUUUCUCUUCGGUGAGCGUCUACCCAUUGCUGCCAAAAAAGGAUUCAAUAUGCAAGUCUUCUAAUGCUAUCGUAUCCGCAUAUUUAACCGUCUAAUAAUAUCUUUUUAGAAAGUUUAAGUGUUAUAUUUAGUACAGCGUAACUUAAUAUUAUAAUAUAAAAAUGACAAAUCGACAUAUAUAGUCGUUCAUUUAUCAAAUAGAGUCUUUUUUCUUUUAACUAACUAUUUUUACGAUGUAUUCGCAGUAAUUUUUUGAAGUAUAUAACUCUCGAAUUCUCGUUAUCGAUCGGCGAACUCAUGCGAAUGCAGAUGAAUCAGAAACAUUAUUUACCUAUCUAAUAAAAAGAAUAAGAAUUUUGUUGACGAAAGUAUGGACAUACUUUAAAUUCUGAUCUAUACUAUAUUUUUUAUUCUGUACAAUUCUUCAAUAGGAUAAGUCUUUGAUGUGGUUUAUAUUUAAUAUGUGUGUAUUACAGUGCAACCUCAUGUUAAGUAAUAAUUUAGUUUUGGUGAUGAAAAUGAUCUAUUUAUGUUACAAGAAAACAAGGGUAUUCUUAUUUUCUUAUUUGUAUUUUAUAUAUAUAUUUUUUUCCUGCAAAACAAUCAAUUUCAUUUAAUUUCAUUUAUAAUAAAUAUUGUCUAAUCAACUGAAUCGAAUCACAUUGAUUUUAUUGGGUUUCGCAAUGUUUUGUGAAAAUAUAUAAAAGCAAAAAUUAUAGUAAACAGGUAAAUCUAUAAGUGGCUUAUAAUUAAAUAAAGAAUGGCUUUCCAAAUAUUAAAAAUAAAUUUGAUUAAGUACGUUAUAAACAAAUGUUUUAUCUUAGGCUUAGGAAAACAUAAGGCUUUAUAAUAAAGGAUGUAUUUGGACGUUUUACCAAUGAUCACUGGGAAAUCUUUGUCUUGGGAAAAACAGAUUUUCGCACACUAUCCUCUCUAAACAUCUCCCGACAUAACUCUAACCGUUUCAGAAUGAUUUCAAAUGGUAUGACAUGGUAAUUAUCUCACCAUUUACCAUGUUCUUCAGAUAAGUCGUAAACUUACUAAUUGAAAGGUGGUUAAGGCUUGAAAUGACCAAAGAUCAUGAUAAAAUGUACACUUGGCAUUUUACGAGAUUUAUUAAGACUUUGAAUAGGCGAAAAUAUGUAUAUAAAUUUUCUAGUUUAAACAUAUUGAGGAGUUGUUCAGCUUAAUACCUACCGGAAUCUGAAUAUCACGCCAUUACGUCAAAGUACAAAUUUGCACCCAAAUCAUGUUGAUGUCUAUCUGACGGCAUUCCACAAAAUUGUUUUGCUCUCAGAGCCCCUUCAUGAAAUCAAAUACCAGCUACAGUAUUCCCAAAUCAAUAUGAAUUAGUUACCGUGAAUACCAGCUACGGAUUUUAUAACCUUGUAGGCAUUGCAAACUAUGGGAGCUUGGUUAUCCAUAAAGUCUGCAAUAAAUCUCAUACAAUUCCGAAAUCAAACAAUACUAGAACUAUCCAAUUUAUAGUUAUUUGAAAACGUGAUUUACUCCAUUCAUUCCAAUCAAAAUCACAAACUACAUUUUGCCAUUAUAAUUUUUUAUCAAACAGUUAUCUGGUCAUACCAAUGUACAUAAACAAAACCUUAUUACUUCACAAAACUAUUGAGCAUUCUACGAGUCAUAAAUGACUCAAACACCUUAGCUAUAAUUAGUUUUAUAAAAAAAAUAUUAAUAUAUUGAAAACUGCAGCGGCUCACAAAGACGGAACAUUAUGUAUAUUAGAAUUAAACUAAAUAGUAUGAUAUUUGUAUUAAGUCACGUUUAGUUAAAUGUCUCUCUUAUUUCUUCAAAUUGUCAUAAUAUUUAUUGUAAUUCAAUGCGCCUUUCCGUAUUGGGGCGGAAUAGAAUACUAACCCCAAUCCCAUGCCAGGAUACAAGGGUGUCGUAAGAGGCGACAAAACCUGGCAACCCUGAUAAUAAUCAGAAAUCAGGGAUUUAUAUUAUGUUGCAUCGAAAUAACGGAUUGGUUUGCUUUUUAGCAUUUAUUUUAUUUUGAUCCGUAAACCAAUUUGUUUUAACAUUGCUUUCUUUUCAUGCGAAUUAUUUGAUCCUAAGUACAAGACCGAAACAAAAUUAUGUAUAUUUCUUGAUUUGAUAGCGGUAUAUAUCUAAUAGUUUUAUUUCUUAAUAUAAUAUUAUAAGUUUUAAUUACAAUUUUUUUUUGUAUUUAUAACAAUGUAAUAUUUGACAGUAAAUAUGUCUUCCUUAGUAAUUAAUCAAUAUGUACGGACAAUAUGUCCCACGUUGAUAAAUAAUAAUAAUUAAUAUGUAAUUGUAUCUGCAAAACUCUAAAUGGUAUCUAAGAGAAAAGAAAAAGGAACUCGUUUUAUUAAAUUAUUUAUCGACGUGGUCUCAACUAUUAAUUAGAUUCUAGAUGCAAAUUUCAACGAAUGAUACUUUUUGAAUUAACAUCAUUAUUAAUCACUACCAAAACCAUGUAACAGUUUCAACAUUCAACUUUGAAAAUGUCACAAAAAAUAUUGAAUGGCAUUUCCACUGUGUAUUUCCAUUACAUUGACGAUGUUUUUAAAAUCCACUGACUACUUUCUAUCUCUCCAGCUGUUUUGAAUAGCUCUGAGCUCUAGCAAGAGACAAAUUACCCCAACGAAGAUUAAAAUACACAGAAGGAAACUCUCGAAGACAAUGCGCGACAUCUAGAUACGUGACAUCAUGAAAUAUAUGCGAAAGACACAGCAAAAGUUGAAAAUCUGAAUCCGUAGGCAAUUCAGCUAGUUAAAAUAGCUAUAGAAAUAGAAAAGAAACUAAAUAUCAUCGUUACGGAUAUAGAAUUGUGGAAAUGCAAUCACUAUAAAAGUUAUCAAGGACUAUUGUUUACGAAAAAUAAAAGGCGUUUAGUUGCUCACAAAACUUAAUAUUAAAUUAUUCAUGAACAUAGCAUGCAUAUCGAUCCUUCUAUAAAUAGGCAAUUCAAAGCCUCUUUCAUCUCUUCUAUCUCUUCGAUCUUUUCUUCAACGACAAAAUUUAACAACAAAACAUUACAUAACAACUAAACAAACUAACAUGAUACUUUUUGAAUUAACAUCAUCACCUUUCAUUAUUAAUCACUACCAAUACCCUGUAACUUGUAACAGUUGUAACGUUCCACUUAUAAAAGGUCAAAAAAUAUAAAAUGACAUUUCCACAGUUUAUUUCCAUUACAUUGACGAUGUUUUUAAAAUCCACUGACUACUUUCUAUCUCUCCAGCUGUUUUGAAUAGCUCUGAGCUCUAGCAAGAGAUAAAUUACGUCAACGAAGAUUAAAAUACACAGAAGGAAACUCUCGAAGACAAUACGCGACAUCUAGAUACGUGACAUCAAGAAAUAUAUGCGAAAGACACAGCAAAAGUUGAAAAUCUGAAUCCGUAGGCAAUUCAGCUAGUUAAAAUAGCUAUAGAAAUAGAAAAGAAACUAAAUAUGAUCGUUACGGAUAUAGAAUUGUGGAAAUGCAAUCACUAUAAAAGUAAUCAAGGAUUAUUGUUUACGAAAAAACAUAAGGCGUUUAGUUGCUCACAAAACUUUAUAUUAAAUUAUUCAUGAACAUAGUGUAUAUUGCAUGCAUAUCGAUCCUUCUAUAAAUAGGCAAUUCAAAGCCUCUUCUAUCUCUUCGAUCAUUUCUUCAACGACAAAAUUUAACAUCAAAACAUUACAUAACAACUAAACAAACUAACAUGAUACUUUUUGAAUUAACAUAAUCACCUUUCAUUAUUUAUUAUUACCAAUACCCUGUAACUUGUAACAGUUGUAACGUUCCACUUAUAAAAGGUCAAAAAAUAUAAAAUGACAUUUCCACAGUUUAUUUCCAUUACAUUGACGAUGUUUUUAAAAUCCACUGACUACUUUCUAUCUCUCCAGCUGUUUUGAAUAGCUCUGAGCUCUAGCAAGAGACAAAUUACCCCAACGAAGAUUAAAAUACACAGAAGGAAACUCUCGACGACAAUGCGCGACAUCUAGAUACGUGACAUCAAGAAAUAUAUGCGAAAGACACAGCAAAAGUUGAAAAUCUGAAUCCGUAGGCAAUUCAGCUAGUUAAAAUAGCUAUAGAAAUAGAAAAGAAACUCAAUAUGAUCGUUACGGAUAUAGAAUUGUGGAAAUGCAAUCACUAUAAAAGUUAUCAAGGAUUAUUGUUUACGAAAAAACAUAAGGCGUUUAGUUGCUCACAAAACUUUAUAUUAAAUUAUUCAUGAACAUUGUGUAUAUAGCAUGCAUAUCGAUCCUUCCAUAAAUAGGCAACUCAAAGCCUCUUCUAUCUCUUCGAUCCUUUCUUCAACGACAAAAUUUAACAACAAAACAUUGCAUUACAACUAAACAAACUAACAUGAUACUUUUUGAAUUAACAUCAUCACCUUUCAUUAUUAAUCACUACCAAUACCCUGUAACUUGUAACAGUUGUAACAUUCCACUUAUAAAAGGUCAAAAAAUAUAAAAUGACAUUUCCACAGUUUAUUUCCAUUACAUUGACGAUGUUUUUAAAAUCCACUGACUACUUUCUAUCUCUCCAGCUGUUUUGAAUAGCUCUGAGCUCUAGCAAGAGAUAAAUUACGUCAACGAAGAUUAAAAUACACAGAAGGAAACUCUCGAAGACUAUGCGCGACAUCUAGAUACAUGACAUCAAGAAAUAUAUGCGAAAGAAACAGCAAAAAUUGAAAAUCUGAAUCCGUAGGCAAUUCAGCUAGUUAAAAUAGCUAUAGAAAUAGAAAAGAAACUAAAUAUCAUCGUAACGGAUAUAGAAUUGUGGAAAUGCAAUCACUAUAAAAGUUAUCAAGGAUUAUUGUUUACGAAAAAACAUAAGGCGUUUAGUUGCUCACAAAACUUUAUAUUAAAUUAUUCAUGAACAUUGUGUUUAUAGCAUGCAUAUCGAUCCUUCUAUAAAUAGGCAACUCAAAGCCUCUUUCAUCUCUUCUAUCUCUUCGAUCUUUUCUUCAACGACAAAAUUUAACAACAAAACAUUACAUUACAACUAAACAAACUAACAUGAUACUUUUUGAAUUAACAUCAUCACCUUUCAUUAUUUAUCACUAUCAAUACCCUGUAACUUGUAAUAGUUGUAACGUUCCACUUAUAAAAGGUCAAAAAAUAUAAAAUGACAUUUCCACAGUUUAUUUCCAUUACAUUGACGAUGUUUUUAAAAUCCACUGACUACUUUCUAUCUCUCCAGCUGUUUUGAAUAGCUCUGAGCUCUAGCAAGAGACAAAUUACCCCAACGAAGAUUAAAAUACACAGAAGGAAACUCUCGACGACAAUGCGCGACAUCUAGAUACGUGACAUCAAGAAAUAUAUGCGAAAGACACAGCAAAAGUUGAAAAUCUGAAUCCGUAGGCAAUUCAGCUAGUUAAAAUAGCUAUAGAAAUAGAAAAGAAACUCAAUAUGAUCGUUACGGAUAUAGAAUUGUGGAAAUGCAAUCACUAUAAAAGUUAUCAAGGAUUAUUGUUUACGAAAAAACAUAAGGCGUUUAGUUGCUCACAAAACUUUAUAUUAAAUUAUUCAUGAACAUUGUGUAUAUAGCAUGCAUAUCGAUCCUUCCAUAAAUAGGCAACUCAAAGCCUCUUCUAUCUCUUCGAUCCUUUCUUCAACGACAAAAUUUAACAACAAAACAUUACAUAACAACUAAACAAACUAACAUGAUACUUUUUGAAUUAACAUCAUCACCUUUCAUUAUUUAUUACUACCAAUACCCUGUAACUUGUAACAGUUGUAACGUUCCACUUAUAAAAGGUCAAAAAAUAUAAAAUGACAUUUCCACAGUUUAUUUCCAUUACAUUGACGAUGUUUUUAAAAUCCACUGACUACUUUCUAUCUCUCCAGCUGUUUUGAAUAGCUCUGAGCUCUUGCAAGAGACAAAUUACCCCAACGAAGAUUUAAAUACACAGAAGGAAACUCUCGAAGACAAUGCGCGACAUCUAGAUACGUGACAUCAAGAAAUAUAUGCGAAAGACACAGCAAAAGUUGAAAAUCUGAAUCCGUAGGCAAUUCAGCUAGUUAAAAUAGCUAUAGAAAUAGAACAGAAACUCAAUAUGAUCGUUACGGAUAUAGAAUUGUGGAAAUGCAAUCACUAUAAAAGUUAUCAAGGAUUAUUGUUUACGAAAAAACAUAAGGCGUUUAGUUGCUCACAAAACUUUAUAUUAAAUUAUUCAUGAACAUUGUGUAUAUAGCAUGCAUAUCGAUCCUUCUAUAAAUAGGCAACUCAAAGCCUCUUCUAUCUCUUCGAUCCUUUCUUCAACGACAAAAUUUAACAACAAAACAUUACAUAACAACUAACCAAACUAACAUGAUACUUUUUGAAUUAACAUAAUCACCUUUCAUUAUUUAUUACUACCAAUACCCUGUAACUUGUAACAGUUGUAACGUUCCACUUAUAAAAGGUCAAAAAAUAUAAAAUGAAAUUUCCACAGUUUAUUUCCAUUACAUUGACGAUGUUUUUAAAAUCCACUGAAUACUUUCUAUCUCUCCAGCUGUUUUGAAUAGCUCUGAGCUGUAGCAAGAGACAAAUUACCCCAACGAAGAUUAAAAUACACAGAAGGAAACUCUCGAAGACAAUGCGCGACAUCUAGAUACGUGACAUCAAGAAAUAUAUGCGAAAGACACAGCAAAAGUUGAAAAUCUGAAUCCGUAGGCAAUUCAGCUAGUUAAAAUAGCUAUAGAAAUAGAAAAGAAACUAAAUAUCAUCGUUACGGAUAUAGAAUUGUGGAAAUGCAAUCACUAUAAAAGUUAUCAAGGAUUAUUGUUUACGAAAAAACAUAAGGCGUUUAGUUGCUCACAAAACUUUAUAUUAAAUUAUUCAUGAACAUUGUGUUUAUAGCAUGCAUAUCGAUCCUUCUAUAAAUAGGCAACUCAAAGCCUCUUUCAUCUCUUCUAUCUCUUCGAUCUUUUCUUCAACGACAAAAUUUAACAACAAAACAUUACAUUACAACUAAACAAACUAACAUGAUACUUUUUGAAUUAACAUCAUCACCUUUCAUUAUUAAUCACUACCAAUACCCUGUAACUUGUAACAGUUGUAACGUUCCACUUAUAAAAGGUCAAAAAAUAUAAUAUGACAUUUCCACAUUUAUUUCCAUUACAUUGACGAUGUUUUUAAAAUCCACUGACUACUUUCUAUCUCUCCAGCUGUUUUGAAUAGCUCUGAGCUCUAGCAAGAGAUAAAUUACGUCAACGAAGAUUAAAAUACACAGAAGGAAACUCUCGAAGACUAUGCGCGACAUCUAGAUACGUGACAUCAAGAAAUAUAUGCGAAAGAAACAGCAAAAAUUGAAAAUCUGAAAUGCGUAGCCAAUUCAGCUAGUUAAAAUAGCUAUAGAAAUAGAAAAGAAACUAAAUAUCAUCGUUACGGUUAUAGAAUUGUGGAAAUGCAGUCACUAUAAAAGUUAUCAAGGAUUAUUGUUUACGAAAAAACAUAAGGCGUUUAGUUGCUCACAAAACUUUAUAUUAAAUUAUUCAUGAACAUUGUGUAUAUAGCAUGCAUAUCGAUCCUUCUAUAAAUAGGCAACUCAAAGCCUCUUCUAUCUCUUCGAUCCUUUCUUCAACGACAAAAUUUAACAACAAAACAUUACAUAACAACUAAACAAACUAACAUGAUACUUUUUGAAUUAACAUAAUCACCUUUCAUUAUUUAUUACUACCAAUACCCUGUAACUUGUAACAGUUGUAACGUUCCACUUAUAAAAGGUCAAAAAAUAUAAAAUGAAAUUUCCACAGUUUAAUUCCAUUACAUUGACGAUGUUUUUAAAAUCCACUGACUACUUUCUAUCUCUCCAGCUGUUUUGAAUAGCUCUGAGCUUUA